rnacentral:rRNA from 1 species
UACGUAGGCAGCAAGCGUUGUUCGGAAUUACUGGGCGUAAAGAGUGUGUAGGCGGUGCUCUAAGUUCGGUGUGAAAUCUCCCGGCUCAACCGGGAGGGUGCGCCGAAUACUGAGUGACUAGAGUGCGGGAGAGGAAAGUGGAAUUCCUGGUGUAGCGGUGAAAUGCGUAGAUAUCAGGAGGAACACCGGUGGUGUAGACGGCUUACUGGACCAUUUCUGACGCUGAGACACGAAAGCGUGGGUAGCAAACAGG